rnacentral:rRNA from 1 species
GGCUGAGAGAUCAGCUGUUCCCUUCGGGGACAGAAUGACAGGUGGUGCAUGGUUGUCGUCAGCUCGUGUCGUGAGAUGUUGGGUUAAUUCCCGCAACGAGCGCAACCCUUAUGAUCAGUUGCCAGCAUUCAGUUGGGCACUCUGGUCAGACUACCGGUGACAAACCGGAGGAAGGCGGGGAUGACUUCAAAUCAUCAUGCCCCUUAUGACCUGGGCUAAACACGUGCUACAAUGGGUGGUACAACAAGCAGCGAGACCGCGAGGUCUAGCGAAUCUCUAAAAACCAUUCCUCAUUCGGAUUUUAGGCCGCCACUCGCCUGCAUGAAGCUGGAAUCCCUAGUAAUCGCGGAUUCACACCCCCCCGGUGAAAUACUUUCCCCGGGUCUUGGACCACCCCGAAAUUUAAUUUAACUUCCCCCCCCCCUUGAU